AGAAAGAAGGAAUGGAAUCACUGGAGAGUCGUCUGCAGUUCACACUUGGGCAAAGACGACUUACUUUGGAAGCGGAACACGAACCGAUUUCCGCUAUUCUGGAUUCUUAUUGAGCGUAGCGAAAUCAAGGUUUAUGAUAAAGUCAGCGAAGUUUCUAUGGUGUUCUACCUUUGCGUAGUCUCGGUCCACAGUGGAAGGCUCCGCACCCGAGCCUCGUUAGACUCAGCGGAAGUUUAAGGUGUAAGUAAAGAGAAUAGAAGAGAUGAAGUCCGUCCCUUAGCCUAGUCUAUAUCUACAGCUGACGCAACUCCGUACUGACGCCUCACUACUACUUAAUUAAUUAAUUAACGGCUAAGCGAUUUCAUAACCUAAGCUUUUCUUAAUCAGCUGACCUUACAAAGUAAGCCCUUAGCCUCCCUUUCUUUAUAGUUCGAAAAAGUGACUUCGUAACCUUAACGUACUUUCUUUCUUACUUUAGCAUAGGCCUUCGACACUUCAAACGGGCGCUUCGCCC
rnacentral:misc_RNA from 1 species